UCCAAACAAGGCCCGGGAGGCAGGCCCCGCGCCCCCUCCAUGCUCAGGUGACGGUGUUGAUGCCUGGAUGUGGCAGCGUAGUCAGGACCACAGGGUCAAUACUGAGCCGUGGGGCCAGGGGUCGAGCCCCGAUUUAUCUAAUUCCAGAUCCUCUCUCCCCUACUUCCUGAGGGAUAUGUUAUUAGAAAGAUCUGGCCAAAGUAGGUGAAAUGAAAGUAUUCAUUUUCCUGAUCAAAAGGAAAUAACAAUAAGGGAGUAAGUGGGGCCUUGAAAAGCAGCUCUGGCAAAUUAGCUUCCAUCUUCCCAGGCAGGAGCUUCUUAUUUUAUUUUAUUUUAUUUUAUUUUUGAACAGUAGAAGAAUAUACCCCAUUCGGCAUCCCUCUUCCCCACAGCGGGCGGUUACAUGCUGGGCUCGACUGAGUUUCUGUCAAGGGGAAUUUAUUGCAAUUUCGAAGAUGGUUCUUAAAAGGGAUGGCUGUUUUGCAUUUUUUAUACAGGUGCUAAAAAUAUGUCAGGUUCGAUCGUCUACAAAGCCGCUUUGUGUAAACCUCCUGCUUUCCUUCCCGCCCCCGCUCAGCUUCCUGGCCUGUGCUCGGUGGCGGCUGCCCCGUGGCCGGGCGCAUCCUGCAGUGGGCGCCUGCUCUUCCUCUGCAGGGUCUAAACCCUGCUCCCCCUGAGGACAAACGCGGGGCCCCGGGACCAGGGGCCCUCCCUCUGCACAAAGCCUUGUCAGGUGCCUGCCCGGGGGUCCCCAAAGGGCCCUGAAGGCACCGUGGCCCAUCCACCAGGCCACGAUAACACAGCAGUGCAAGUGGCAAGAGGUCCUGUCGCUUGAGUAGUUGUCGCCUGUUGUGAGCCGGCAGACCCUCAGUGUGUUGUGCAGGUUGCCUGUGGCCUCAGAGCAGCACCUCGGUUACCUGCACGCCCCGAUUCUGACAGUUUGAGUCCCACGAGGUGGUUUCUGGGAAGAGCCUUUGUCAAGGUGUCCCUGGCUGUUUCUGAGAGGUCCGGCGUGGCUUACAUGCCCAGGGACGUGACUGCAGGGCUGUUCCACCCCAGGUGUCCUGUUGCGGUGCCCAGUCCUUCUUCGCCUGCUUCCAAAGCACAGGACAGGACCGCACGUGACACCUAACGAACACCUGGGACCGGGCUGUGGAAUAGGAUGGCACUGAAGUGUCAGGGUUCAUGGAAAGGCUGUGCCAGUGUCUUUCCAGGAUUACUGAGAGCGCCUGCGAGGGACAACCCACAGGUGCAGAGCCUGGCCCAGCGGCCCCAAGGAGACAACCCCACGAGAAUCCGACAGCACAUCCCUGGAGGACGUGGUUCUUCAGGGGACAAUAUGCCAGUGUCGGGUGGGACAGCUCCUUCCCCCCAUGCUCCUGUGUGGGGGGCUCCACUGGGGCAAGGUUCCUGGCCUCUCAGCACCGCCCUCAGCCAGGGAGCCCGCACCACCUGGUUGUGGGCGUGGAGAAGGAGCUCGGUCUGUCUCUGCCACUGAUCGUUUCCGAGGUGAACAUCCCGGGAUAAACCUUCAUGGGAAGAACCCGAAGUCAGCCGCCCAGCCAGCGUCUGUCCUGCGGAUUUUCUACCAGUUGGUUUCCGAACUGUGCGGUCUCUGAAGCAGCAACUCAACUCUGCCAUUGCUGUGCAACAACAGCCCUAAACAAUACACAAAGGGGCGGGUGUGACUGUGUUUCAAUAAAACUUUACUGACAAAACAA